CGGAAAUAGCUCAGUGGUAGAGCACCACCUUGCCAAGGUGGGGGUCGCGGGUUCUAACCCCGUUUUCCG
rnacentral:tRNA from 1 species